UGGGGAAUUUUGGACAAUGGGCGAAAGCCUGAUCCAGCAAUGCCGCGUGUGUGAAGAAGGCCUUCGGGUUGUAAAGCACUUUUGUCCGGAAAGAAAUCCUUGGCUCUAAUACAGUCGGGGGAUGACGGUACCGGAAGAAUAAGCACCGGCUAACUACGUGCCAGCAGCCGCGGUAAUACGUAGGGUGCAAGCGUUAAUCGGAAUUACUGGGCGUAAAGCGUGCGCAGGCGGUUUGCUAAGACCGAUGUGAAAUCCCCGGGCUCAACCUGGGAACUGCAUUGGUGACUGGCAGGCUAGAGUAUGGCAGAGGGGAGUAGAAUUCCACGUGUAGCAGUGAAAUGCGUAGAGAUGUGGAGGAAUACCGAUGGCGAAGGCAGCCCCCUGGGCCAAUACUGACGCUCAUGCACGAAAAGCGUGGGGAGCAAACAGGAUUAGAUACCCUGGUAGUCCACGCCCUAAACGAUGUCAACUAGUUGUUGGGGAUUCAUUUCCUUAGUAACGUAGCUAACGCGUGAAGUUGACCGCCUGGGGAGUACGGUCGCAAGAUUAAAACUUAAAGGAAUUGACGGGGUCAUAGCUGUUUCCU
rnacentral:rRNA from 1 species